CUAAUAACUUUGAACAGUUGGUGUAGAGCUUUGAUAUUUCACAUGAGUGUUCCUUGUGACAAGACCUUUCCGUGGGUGCUAACAUUUUUGACCCCGUGACCUUGGAGUUUGACCUACUUUUUGAAAACUUUAACCUUGCUAAUAACUUUUGAACAGUAAGUGAUAGAGCUUUGAUAUUUCACAUGAGGGUCCAUUUCAGAUAAAUGGAAGAAAUAACUUCCGUCACUUUUUUAAUCCAAUUUACAAACUGAUUUUAUAUAUUGGAUAAUUUAACCAUAUUUAAUCAUUAUUUACAGCAUUAAGACAUAUCUGAAAUAAAAUCUAUGCUUUUGUUUGAAUAGUUAUGAUUUAUUGAUACUUUUUGUCAUGAAUGUCAUCGCUUUUACGCUUCCUUAUAACAAGGUGAAUAGGGUGGCAUGUCAAAACAGCAAACAGAAUAAUAUUUCUGCAAAAUUAUUCCAUGCAAAUGAUAAUUAUUUGAAGUAAAAACAUUUAUCCAUGUUAUUAUUUACUUAAAAUACAUUUAUCCUUAAUUAUGAAAGAAAUAAUCAUAUGCAAACAAAACUAGAGUGGACGUUACGAUGUCGGUCAAAAUAACGCAUAUUUCAUAAACAGACUACAGUAAAUUUAUCAAAGCUAAUUUCAUUACAAAUUAAAGCAGAGAUUGGUUAUUGCUUGUUACAAUACCAGUUUAAUUUCUAGACUUUAGUUUGGGGGAUAAAAAUAACCAUAUUGACGAUCAUGGUAUAUGUCGGUCAAUUUCGUAACGUCCGAAUAAAACCGUCUUUGGCGCUUUGAGGGUGUUGCUGAGUGCGAUUUUGGUAUGGAGAGUAUUUGCUGAGGCACUGUUUGUGUAAUAUGUCAUCGAUUUCUGAGAAAGCUGGCUGCAGCAUGGCGAAACACAAGGUAAAUGAUUGUCGGUCAACACUUUCUGAUUUGUAACGGUCGUCACGCUAAAACAAGUAACAAACCAUGGUUGAUGUUUUAUUAUCAAAGGCACAAUUACGGUGCCAAUACUUUUUGAUUUUGAUUAUUGUCAAAAGAAAUGUUUUAUUCCGUCGAUAAACUUUGAUCUUGAAUGAUGGUGUACGCCAGUUACAAUUUGACAGCAUGCCAUAUUGGGCGACGUUACUUUUGACACGAUCGAAGCGUAUUGGAAAGUCAAACUUAACUACCGAACACUUUUCAUAUAUUUUACACGAAAACGAUGUUAUAUAUUCUUAUUAUUUUUUUUUUUAAAGCGAAUGAUUACAAGUUUUAUUGACGAUUUCGAUGUAAAUAAGAAAUUGUCAGUGUGACCAUUCCUCACACACCAGAUUCGUAAAUUGCCCGUUACGUUUUGACAUUUUAUCUUCAUUGGCUACAUUCUUCCCCUUAAUGUACACAUUAGGGUGCCAUAAACAAGUAUGUCUAAAAGUUUCACUUUUUGAAAUUAAACUUUUUAUUUUAGUAUCGAGUCUGAGCAGUUACCCACCACCAGCAGUUAUGAACAACUGCCCAGCACCAACAUUGAGGAGCCUCCCAAGGUCAACACAGAGCAGGAGCCUCCCAAUGUCAACACAGAGCAACUACCCAGCACCAACAUUGCACAGUCACCAAAGCCAUUCAACGACCCCUCUCCUGAGGCUCCAGAGAGACAGUCUAGGUUGAAGGUUGGCCCUGGGUAAGGUUUUUUUACCAAAACUGGGAAGAAAGGAAGGGUACUUUGGACUUAUGGGAGCCUCUUACAUACUGUGCUCUCCACGGAUGUGUUAGACAUACAAGACCCACCAGAUGUCGUAGCAUAUGGUUCAAGGAUCUACUACAAAUUUGAAUUUCAAUGAAAAUAUCCAUGGAAGAAUGUCAUUGUGAAAAGUUUUGAAGAAAGUAAAAUAAAUUGAUUCUUGUGUCGAA